rnacentral:rRNA from 1 species
GACGAACGCUGGCGGCGUGCUUAACACAUGCAAGUCGAACGAAGUGGCGAACGGGUGAGUAAUACGUGGGUAACCUGCCCGACUUUUUGGGAUAAGCCUUGGAAAUGGGGUCUAAUACCGAAUAAAGGGGGAUGGGCUCGUGGCCUAUGAGCUUGUGGGUGGGGAGGUGGCCGACCAAGGCGGUGACGGGUAGCCAGCCUGAGAGGGCGACCGGCAACAGUGGGACUGAGAUACUGCCCAGAGUGUGACGGGAGGCGGCAGUGGGGGAGAUGGCACAAAGGGCGAAAGCCUGAUGCAGCGAGUCCGAGUGGGGGUUUUAGGUUUUCGGGUUGUAUACCUCUGUCGCUAGCGAACGGGUAGGUGGAGAAGAAGCGCCGGCUAACUACGUGCCAGCAGCCGCGGUAAUAC